UACGGAGGGUGCAAGCGUUAAUCGGAAUUACUGGGCGUAAAGCGUGCGCAGGCGGUUUGUUAAGUCCGUUGUGAAAGCCCCGAGCUCAACUUGGGAAUUGCAGUGGAUACUGGCAGGCUGGAGUACGGUAGAGGAAGGUGGAAUUCCCGGUGUAGCAGUGAAAUGCGUAGAUAUCGGGAGGAACACCAGUGGCGAAGGCGGCUCUUUGGUCUGUAACUGACGCUGAGGCGCGAAAGCGUGGGGAGCAAACAGG
rnacentral:rRNA from 1 species